GUAAGUUAACUGUAAUGAACUAUCUAAAUUUGUAAUAAUUGUUUUAAAUAUUAGUUGACCUGAAUUUUAUUAAUUUUACGCUUACAGUCGACACCUUUCAAUUGAAGAUUAUAUUUAAAUUAUGUCACUUGACUCAAUCAACAAGCUUUCAUUGAAUCUCUUCAUGUUAAUGUGUUACCAUUGGCUUCGUGGUAAUUGAAAAUCAAACAAACUUGUGAUUUACCAUGAAUCUGAUGAAAUUUUAUCAAACCCUUGAAGAGUAUUAAUUCACAAGCUAUUUAAGGUAAUCCUUUAAUCAACUUUACACUUGGUUAAUCUGCAAUUGUUCAUCAAUUGGAUCCUUUUGUGUUCUGUUUAUUUUAGUUGGACAAUGUUUGCUAAAGAAACUCAACAUUUGCUUGCUCACAAAUUACAAUUAACACUUUCAUCUUCUCACUUCAAAAAAAACAUCUCCAUCUAAACUCUACUUCGGUAAAUAAAUAACAUUGUGUAUGUGUGUAAAGAAACGAUGUGAAUUUAAUCAUGAAAUUAUUAAAUAGAUUUAUCAACAUCAUUAAUUCCAGUGAAAACAGUAAUAUUUGUGGUUGAAAGUUAGCUCAACAUCUCAUGGUUAAUAAAAAUGGCAAUAAACUUCUGAGAAACAAAGACAAAAGCUCAGUCAGCAACAUGUGAUUGCAUUUCGAUAAAUUUUACUGGAAAAAUCAACAGACCGAGAUAUUGAAAGACAAGCUUGUUGACAGGAAUUGCAUGUGUCAGUAUCCAUGUUAUAAGAAUACAAGUUGGAACAAGACAGAAACAUGAUGACUGCUGUUUACUGUGAAGAGAUGCAAAAGGGUUAAAUCCAUUUUUUUGUGCCGAUUCAUGGUGAUGAAAGAUUACAAGCUAACAAAAUGGUUACAUGAAAGUAAUUUAUAUUGCUGAUGCACAACUCAAGUCUCCCCUGGUUUUAAUUGUAAUCAAUCAACAAACAAACAAUGAACAAAACUAAUGGACACAAUUGUCAACAUCAUCAACAACAGCUACAUCUACUAUUAACACAGUUUCCACUUGUGUGUUCACUUUGGUGACUG